rnacentral:rRNA from 1 species
UACGGAGGGGGCUAGCGUUGUUCGGAAUUACUGGGCGCAAAGCGCACGUAGGCGGACUGUUAAGUCGGGGGUGAAAUCCUGGGGCUCAGCCUCAGAAUUGCCUCCGAUACUGGCAGUCUCGAGUGCGGGAGAGGUGAGUGGAAUUCCCAGUGUAGAGGUGAAAUUCGUAGAUAUUGGGAAGAACACCAGUGGCGAAGGCGGCGACCUGGUCCGAUACUGACGCUGAGGUGCGAAAGCGUGGGGAGCAAACAGG